GUAGGGGCGUUGCGGGGGGGUGUACUCGAGCAUUACUCGAGUGCUCGUGUAGCACUCGAGCGGCGCGUGCUGUGCACGCCCCUCAAUUAAAAAAAAUUCCAACGGCUUUUUUAACGUCAAUUUUGAAUUUUUUUUCCAACGGCACUUUUAGCCGUUUGGCCCCUUUUUUUUUAUUUUUUUUUUCUCUUCUUUUCUCUCUAUAAAUAAUACUUCUCCCUCUCUCAUUCAUCACAAC
rnacentral:lncRNA from 1 species